ACGCACGCUGGCGGCUUGCUUAACCCCUGCACGUCGAACGGAAAGGCCCUGCUUUUGUGGGGUGCUCGAGUGGCGAACGGGUGAGUAACACGUGAGUAACCUGCCCUUGACUUUGGGAUAACUUCAGGAAACUGGGGCUAAUACCGGAUAGGAGCUCCUGCUGCAUGGUGGGGGUUGGAAAGUUUCGGCGGUUGGGGAUGGACUCGCGGCUUAUCAGCUUGUUGGUGGGGUAGUGGCUUACCAAGGCUUUGACGGGUAGCCGGCCUGAGAGGGUGACCGGCCACAUUGGGACUGAGAUACGGCCCAGACUCCUACGGGAGGCAGCAGUGGGGAAUAUUGCACAAUGGGCGGAAGCCUGAUGCAGCAACGCCGCGUGCGGGAUGACGGCCUUCGGGUUGUAAACCGCUUUCGCCUGUGACGAAGCGUGAGUGACGGUAAUGGGUAAAGAAGCACCGGCUAACUACGUG
rnacentral:rRNA from 1 species